rnacentral:rRNA from 1 species
UACGUAGGGCGCAAGCGUUAUCCGGAAUUAUUGGGCGUAAAGAGCUCGUAGGCGGUUUGUCGCGUCUGCCGUGAAAAGUCCGGGGGCUCAACUCCGGAUCUGCGGUGGGUACGGGGCAGACUAGAGUGAUGUAGGGGGAGACUGGAAUUCCUGGGUGUAGCGGUGAAAAUGCGCAGAUAUCAGGAGGAACACCGGUGGCGAAGGCGGGUCUCUGGGCCGUAACUGACGCUGAGGAGCGAAAGCAUGGGGGAGCGAACAGG